CAAACGACUCUCGGCAACGGAUAUCUCGGCUCACGCAUCGAUGAAGAACGUAGCAAAAUGCGAUACUUGGUGUGAAUUG
rnacentral:rRNA from 2 species